rnacentral:rRNA from 1 species
GACGUAGGGCGCGAGCGUUGUCCGGAUUUAUUGGGCGUAAAGAGCUCGUAGGCGGUCUGUCGCGUCGAAUGUGAAAACCCGGGGCUCAACCCCGGGCCUGCAUUCGAUACGGGCAGACUAGAGUUCGGUAGGGGAGUCUGGAAUUCCUGGUGUAGCGGUGAAAUGCGCAGAUAUCAGGAGGAACACCGGUGGCGAAGGCGGGACUCUGGGCCGAUACUGACGCUGAGGAGCGAAAGCGUGGGGAGCAAACAGG